CCGGUCUUCGACGUGUCUGUGUGUUCGACUGCUACGCCACCAUUGAGGAGUUCAACGACUCCAACCAGUAAAACUCAAACAACUCGCUCACAGGAAACAUCUGGAAAGACAGAAACAUCUUUCAAUACCAAAUCCACUACCCAAACUCAAACAACUUCUGCUCUCAUGGAGACUUCUGAGAGAACAAAAGCACCUGGUGCCACAGGGUCAUCUUCAUCCCCUGG